rnacentral:misc_RNA from 1 species
UAAAAAAAAAAAAAAAAAAACCUGUACAACAAAAAUUUGCAGGACUAAACAUUUGGAUGAAGUUUCUAAUUCUCAAUAGAUGUGAGACUUUGACAAAAACCAAUCAAAAAUAGAAUGAAUACCAGACACAAACAACCAUUACUCAGAUUCACUGUAAGGAAAUGAAGAACAGGGAUCGAUUGAAUUCAGAAAUUUUAGAACAGACCCUAAAAUGGGAAGAAUUCUGAAUACUACAUUGUCAAUCUCUCUCGUCAGGUGACCAUUGCUCCUGACACUUGCGCCUUGCAUCAACUGAUACCGCAUUCUACUGGGUAUGGAUUCACCUUGUCUUUCCUGAUCGAACGCGUACAACAGGCAAUGCACUUUGCCCAAAAAAAAACUAAACAGUGAAAUCAGAGUAAUAAAAUGGAACCCUAUCAUGUAUGAUGGAAGUUGGCUGUGACAUCAAAAUCCCUAGUUAUUACAGGGUAGGUUAACGACAAUGGACUCUUAAAUAGCAGAAACCAAUGGCUGGCUGCACAUUCCUGGCCCCCCACCCAUCCUUUGAUGCAGGAAUAGGCAACAGGAAAAUGAAGCCAAUACUAGACAGUGACCAAUACAUCAAACAUUCCAUCACAGCAGAGAUAAAUAAGAACGAAGACGCAACUUUUGAGAAGAUGCAUUAACUUCCUGUCACGCACUUCUACCACAAUGGCUUCUAUGCAUCCCUGGGACUCAUGUAAAUAAUCCAUCUGCCAAUAGCAGGUACAGAAGAUUUAACCUUCUAAAUUGCAUUAAAAUUUGCAACACAAAAACAAGUAAACAAGGUAAAGCAACUGAUUAAUCAUAAACAGAUAGUGAAUUAUCGCAGAUACCAAUCCGUUAUCCAGAUAUCAAUCUGUUAUCCAGAUAUGUAAAUUAUAUGUGGGCGCACACUUAACAUGUACACGGUACUACAUGCUCACAGUAAUUAAUAGAUGAUUAAAACAAGAUGGUCAGAAACAGCCUCCAACCAUUCACUACGAAUCAUUUAGCCAGGGUAAGACUGGGAAGCAGCGUAGUUGAAAGUUCAGAUGAGAUUGUAAUGGUUUCAGCCUCCAGACAGCUUAUCAAAUAUCUCGUCCAAAUUUGUCAAUUCCAUGAGAAGUAAAAUCCAUGGCAACAAUGACUAACUUCCAAAGAAAAGGAUAAAAUCUUGUCAGUUACAACUUUUCAAGGAAAGAAAUCAAAUAAAAUUACUCUGCGGACUAUUCCGUAAUACUAGAAUAUGAUAAGGAUUAUGCAGUGCCAGAAAAAUUAUCAUUUCCUUCCACUAGGAACUAAUACACGCUACUCCAUUCUUUAUGGCACAAAUACAAGACAUCUCUUAUUGCCAUAAUCAAAAGUCACGUCCUCUAUUCUUCUAAUUCAGUAUUAAUUCAUUCAUCUUUUUCGCAUAAUUGCUUAAAAUGUAACAAAUCAACCAGCAGAAUAAUUUGCUCGGAAUAUUAAAGGUAAGAGUAAAUGGCUCAAAUUCUUUGACAAGUCCAAGACAGGCAAAAAGCUGAAAACCAGCCUUUUCUGCCAACUUCCAUGACAAGAGUCUGUUUUACUUGAACAGCUUACCAAUUACCAUUUUCAAAAGCCCCCGAAAGUUUUACCUCAUUUGGAUUCAAGUUCAACAAAAACAAAAAUGCUUGGUGGAGGUACCUGAUUACUAUGCCAACUAUCACUCCAACUCGGAUGCCUCUUCUGAAUCUGACAAGGGUAAAAGGGUGCAGAUUCCAAGCACAUGUCCAUUGAGGCACACAUAAUACUCAACACAAUCUUCAUAGGCACCCAACCUACAGCUGGCACUCUGUGGUAUCAUUUUGGCUUGCAGCAUGCUCCACAACUUUGCCUUGCAAUAAGGGCACACCUCUGUUGGAUGAAGCAGGGCUUUCCUUUUAAUCAGCAUCUUCCUAACCUUUGACAUUGAGAAUGACUUGAAAAUUCCACGGAAAAAUCCAACAUCACCUUCUUCCCCUUGAUCAAGAUGUUCACAAGGGUCAGAGACAUACAAAACAUCUGUUCUGCAUUGUGGCAAAAGAAAACUUUUCCCUGAAGUUCUAGAAAACCGAGUCCUGUAAACAAAAUGACCAGGGAUAUGAAUGCUAUUGAACAGGCCACCCUUGCUACAUCCUGAGCAGUAAAUAAGCAAUUUUCCAAGUGCUCUCCAAUUGCCAUCAACACUAUGACUUCCGCUAGAUUGCAGAUCAAGCAUCAUUUUUGGAGCCCUUGCUCGGCAAAACUCUUUCCAUAGCACUCGCUUGGCCAAAUCAUCAAACCAUUUGCAUACACAUGACAGGGUGGCAAUCAAUUUAGGGUUCCAGUUCAGCUGUUGAAACACUAAAAAAAUUGCAUCUUCACUUAGAUGCCCUUUUGUGCAUUGACAGCUUGAUGAGUGUAUACAACGAUAUUGCUUUGUUAAAAUCAUGGUCUCCACCUCAGAAAAAGAAGUAUCCUCUCCCCAUGACCUCAAAAACCUUUAAAAAGAAAAACAUAUGCCAAAAAGGUAGAUAAUUUUGCUACCACAGAAGGGUAUUUCCGUCCAAAAAGAAUAGAUAAUACACUUCAGAUAGAUACAGAGCAAACGCAGAGAGAUGGGAGUUUGAGGAAGAGCAGAGAAGGGCUUCGGCCUUGGGGUUCCAUAUGGAAGAAGAAAUAUUAUAAUAAGGCAAAUACUUGAACUUACAGAGUUACAGCCUUACUAAUUCUUUAAAGCAAGGACAAAUUGUAAUACGCCACGCCAUCCCACGACAACUAAGAAAAUGAGGUGUCGCUCGCAUGGAAGAUGAUGAGGACUCCUUAGUAUGAUGUGUCAGAAAAUAGUUGGAGGAAAUUUUAGCGAAAAUGAGAUUGAGGUAAUUUAAAUGUUGCCGCUGGUUUUACUGUUGAUAUUUAAAAAUUUAGUGCCGCAAAGGCAAAAUGCCAAAGCAGUAUACCAUCAUCCGCAAAAAGAUUCUAAUGUCCACGUUUCGGGCCUAUAAUUUUUUAUGGGUUCCAUCAUUGGAUUGUUACUGCUUUGCCGAUGGCAUCCUCUGAUUGGUUGGCUCCUUAUUUCCUAUUUGUCUUGAGACUUUCCCAAAAGAGUAAUGCUACUCACACCGCAUAUUAUAAAGAUACUAAAUUAAAUCAAAUAAAAUCAUUAAUAUAGUACGAGUCAUGAUUUUGAAGAAAACUCUUGAGGGUUUCAUCACAUCUGAAAAUCUAGAACUUGUGGCUGCAAAAUUUAACGCUAAUACACCUUUUCUAUUCAAAUAUGAACAUGCAAUACAAUGAUGACCCAUCAAACUCUGGAUAUAAAAAUAUGUUUAAAUUUAAGGUGGUGAAACUUCUGUUGUUGAAUUUAACUGUCAUGCUACUCUUUUCCGUCCUGAGACAGUCUUCUUUACAGCUCCUACUGAGACUAAAAAUUGAUCGAGG